GCAUAAUCAUUUGCCUUCUAAUUAAAGGAUAGAAUGAAUGGAAAAACGAAAUUUCAACUGUAUCAACUAUAUAUAUUAAAAAUUAUACCAAAGGUGAAGAUACCUUUAUUUAAAUGAAAGACAAGAAGACCCUAUAGAGUUUUAGUACAAAAUUAUCUUUACAUAACUUUAGUUGGGGCGACUAAGGAAUAAAAAUCAUCCUAAUAUAAAAAGAUUUAUAAAUCUCAAAACUGAUCCUACAAAGAUUAACAAAAACAACUACCUUAGGGAUAACAGGCUUAUCUUCCUUUUAAGUUCAAAUUUACAGGAAGGUUUGGCACCUCGAUGUUGGCUUAGAGUAACCUAAUAAUGCAAUAGUUAUUAAAGGUUAGUUUGUUCAACUAAUAACCCUCU
rnacentral:rRNA from 1 species